GUGNUGGNUUUGGCAGUGCACGUCUCUCNCCACUUUAAACUACACUUGUGAACCUUGNAGGUGCGUCCCCCGUGCGGGUGGGCGUUGCCUAUUUUACUUGCACACUUUGUAUCUAUCGGAAUGUAAAUGGGUUUUAUGCAAACCUAAAUAAAUAUAACUUUCAACAACGGAUCUCUUGGCUCUCGCAUCGAUGAAGAACGCAGCGAAAUGCGAUAAGUAAUGUGAAUUGCANAAUUCAGUGAAUCAUCGAAUCUUUGAACGCACCUUGCGCUCCCCGGCAUUCCGGGGAGCAUGCCUGUUUGAGUGUCAUGAAAAUCAUCAACCUCACCGUUGACGCGGUGAUGGAUUGGACUUGGAUGUUUGCUGGGGCCUUGGUUGCCUCGGCUCAUCUCAAAUGCAGCAGUCGAUUCACUUGACCUCGACCGCUCGGUGUGAUAGUUACAUCUAUGCCGGGUUUCGGGAGGACAAGCGGCUUCUCAACCGUCUCCUUUUGGGACAAAUGUUUUCAAACCUCUGACCUCAAAUCAGGUAGGACUACCCGCUGAACUUAAGCAUAUCAAUAAGCGGAGGAAAAGAAACUAACAAGGAUUCCCCUAGUAACGGCGAGUGAAGCGGGAUGAGCUCAAAUUUAAAAUCUGGCGGUCUUCGGNCGUCCGAGUUGUAGUCUANAGAAGUGUUUUCCGUGCCGGACCGUGUACAAGUCCCUUGGAACAGGGCGUCNUANAGGGNGAGAAUCCCGUC
rnacentral:rRNA from 1 species